rnacentral:rRNA from 1 species
GGCGUGCCCUAUACAUGCAAGUCGAACGAGUUCUCGUUGAUGAUCGGUGCUUGCACCGAGAUUCAACAUGGAACGAGUGGCGGACGGGUGAGUAACACGUGGGUAACCUGCCCUUAAGUGGGGGAUAACAUUUGGAAACAGAUGCUAAUACCGCAUAGAUCCAAGAACCGCAUGGUUCUUGGCUGAAAGAUGGCGUAAGCUAUCGCUUUUGGAUGGACCCGCGGCGUAUUAGCUAGUUGGUGAGGUAAUGGCUCACCAAGGCGAUGAUACGUAGCCGAACUGAGAGGUUGAUCGGCCACAUUGGGACUGAGACACGGCCCAAACUCCUACGGGAGGCAGCAGUAGGGAAUCUUCCACAAUGGACGCAAGUCUGAUGGAGCAACGCCGCGUGAGUGAAGAAGGCUUUCGGGUCGUAAAACUCUGUUGUUGGAGAAGAAUGGUCGGCAGAGUAACUGUUGUCGGCGUGACGGUAUCCAACCAGAAAGCCACGGCUAACUACGUGCCAGCAGCCGCGGUAAUACGUAGGUGGCAAGCGUUAUCCGGAUUUAUUGGGCGUAAAGCGAGCGCAGGCGGUUUUUAAGUCUGAUGUGAAAGCCCUCGGCUUAACCGAGGAAGCGCAUCGGAAACUGGGAAACUUGAGUGCAGAAGAGGACAGUGGAACUCCAUGUGUAGCGGUGAAAUGCGUAGAUAUAUGGAAGAACACCAGUGGCGAAGGCGGCUGUCUGGUCUGUAACUGACGCUGAGGCUCGAAAGCAUGGGUAGCGAACAGGAUUAGAUACCCUGGUAGUCCAUGCCGUAAACGAUGAAUGCUAGGUGUUGGAGGGUUUCCGCCCUUCAGUGCCGCAGCUAACGCAUUAAGCAUUCCGCCUGGGGAGUACGACCGCAAGGUUGAAACUCAAAGGAAUUGACGGGGGCCCGCACAAGCGGUGGAGCAUGUGGUUUAAUUCGAAGCAACGCGAAGAACCUUACCAGGUCUUGACAUCUUUUGAUCACCUGAGAGAUCAGGUUUCCCCUUCGGGGGCAAAAUGACAGGUGGUGCAUGGUUGUCGUCAGCUCGUGUCGUGAGAUGUUGGGUUAAGUCCCGCAACGAGCGCAACCCUUAUGACUAGUUGCCAGCAUUUAGUUGGGCACUCUAGUAAGACUGCCGGUGACAAACCGGAGGAAGGUGGGGAUGACGUCAAAUCAUCAUGCCCCUUAUGACCUGGGCUACACACGUGCUACAAUGGAUGGUACAACGAGUUGCGAGACCGCGAGGUCAAGCUAAUCUCUUAAAGCCAUUCUCAGUUCGGACUGUAGGCUGCAACUCGCCUACACGAAGUCGGAAUCGCUAGUAAUCGCGGAUCAGCACGCCGCGGUGAAUACGUUCCCGGGCCUUGUACACACCGCCCGUCACACCAUGAGAGUUUGUAACACCCGAAGCCGGUGGCGUAACCCUUUUAGGGAGCGAGCUGU